rnacentral:rRNA from 1 species
CGUGGAUCAGCAUGCCACGGUGAAUACGUUCCCGGGCCUUGUACACACCGCCCGUCACACCACGAGAGUUUGUAACACCCGAAGUCGGUAGGGUAACCUUUAUGGAGCCAGCCGCCGAAGGUGGGACAGAUAAUUGGGGUGAAGUCGUAACAAGGUAGCCGUAUCGGAAGGUGCGGCUGGAUCACCUCCUUUCUAAGGAA